UUCACAUGCUAGUGCAAACUAUGAAAGGUCUUGCCCAGGGCCUACCAUAGUCUGCACUAGCAUGCAGAUGGCAGGUCCCUAUUCUGAGAUAUAAUCUAGAAUAAGUCUAAGUGCAGAAAGGGCCUAGAUGGCUGUGAUCUAGACAAAAACAGGAUUAGUCCCCAUUGUGUCCUAAAACAGACUAAUUGGUUGUGGUGCGACUGUGCCCUAAGGUAAUCAUUUCAAAAUCUUAUUCUCUGUUUGUACUAUUUCAUCUUAACUUAUUAGUUUCUAAUAAGUUUCUGAAAUGUAGUUUCCGUAUUUCUACAAUCUCUCUCUCUCCCCAUCUUUUCUAGUUCAAUGCAGCAAAGACAAGCCGAUCACCAUGAAACGGGUGGACGUUCCUGAUAUUGAUGUACUCUUCACCGACAUUGCCAAAAGUUUCAACAAGCAGCAAAGCAGUUGUUUGGCUAUCCGGGAAAUCCUCCAAAACCUGAAAGAGACCUAUUGCUGUUCACCUGCAAGCAGUCUUUCGGUGUGCAUAGAAAAGAUAAAGCAGGAACAUAGUGCUUGUAAUAUGCAGGUGCAUAUGAAGGGAUACAAGUUUUGGCUGGAUGUGAGAGAGAAAGAGGUCCCUGAGAAACUGGAAUGGACUCAACGGCAGGUGGGAAAACUGAACCGUGCCACUAUAGGAGUUACCAGUAUGGAAACAAAACUCCAGGAAAUGAUUUCCUCAGUACUUCAAAACCAGGAAAAGUUGGUAGACACAGUGAAACUUGCAAACUCAGAGUACCUAGACCAGAUACGGCUAGAAGAAAACCUGAAAGAAAAUAUUGAGAAAGUAAGUCUAGCCAAACAGUUCUCGAAGCUCUAUAGAGAAGAAGCCAAUAAUGUGCUUAGGGAAAUGUCCAAGUCAGCAAGCUUGACCUUGUAAAAAGAUACAAGAACGAACCUGUUCUCUUCUGUCUCUCUUAGCACAAAGAUGAAUGAACGUGCUUGUGAUCGGAAAGUCUUUUUGGCUAUGCAGUACUUUAAGCCAGAAAUGGUCUUUUGGAAGUUGUGGAAGUGCAAUGGCUAUCUUACCUGGCCAUUGG
rnacentral:lncRNA from 1 species